rnacentral:rRNA from 1 species
CAGUCGCCGCGGGAAUACGAAGGGGGCUAGCGUUGCUCGGAAUGACUGGGCGUAAAGGGCGCGUAGGCGGAUUGUUUAGUUAGGCGUGAAAUUCCUGGGCUUAACCUGGGGACUGCGCUUAAUACAGGCAGUCUAGAGUGAGGAAGAGGGUUGUGGAAUUCCCAGUGUAGAGGUGAAAUUCGUAGAUAUUGGGAAGAACACCGGUGGCGAAGGCGGCAACCUGGUCCUUGACUGACGCUGAGGCGCGAAAGCGUGCGGAGCAAACAGGAUUAGAUACCCCCGUAGUCCCUGUCUCUUAUAC